AUUUCUUUUCUUGAUUAGAGAAGAACAAACCGGAACUGUUUUGUUCGCUGGUCAAAUCUUCGAUCCUUCUGCUU
rnacentral:sRNA from 1 species